rnacentral:rRNA from 1 species
UACGAAGGGGCUAGCGUUGUUCGGAAUCACUGGGCGUAAAGCGCACGUAGGCGGAUUUUUAAGUCAGGGGUGAAAUCCCGGGGCUCAACCUCGGAACUGCCUUUGAUACUGGAGAUCUUGAGUCCGGAAGAGGUAAGUGGAACUGCGAGUGUAGAGGUGAAAUUCGUAGAUAUUCGCAAGAACACCAGUGGCGAAGGCGGCUUACUGGUCCGGAACUGACGCUGAGGUGCGAAAGCGUGGGGAGCAAACAGGG